rnacentral:lncRNA from 1 species
CACACACACACACACACACGGGUAAACCCACACAGAUGAAAUCCCCUCUUCAGAGAAGCCAGCUACAGGAAACUGACUUAUGCACAGGAACUUGCUAAUCUCUAUCGUCACAUUCGGAUUGUUCCUGCCACCUCAGUCACCGCGCACGCUAAACCCAACCAUCUUGGGCUGGAUUCUCUACUAGCUCAGCUCUGACAUCUUUGGUUCUUCCAGUGUGAAUCAGGGAUAUUCUUGGGGAGGAAGGAAAAUGUUGAUUCCAGAAGGAAAUCCUAAUAGUGAAAGGGCUCGGGCAGCUUUUGCUUUUCCUUACCUGCACUGAACAGAUUGACUUCCGGAGUCAGUCAUUUUGGUGUCAAGAAAUUUCUUCAGCAUUCUACAACAGUUCCCAAAGUGGCCGGGAUCCAUUAGAAACUGAAGCUGCUGUCUGUGGCCUUCCCCACUUCGUGGAGCAGAAGCCAACAGAGAGCUGUUGGAAAGCGAGCAUUCACACAUCAGUUGAAGACUGGCCUUUGGAACUUUUCAAUGUAGAUCGCGUGUCUCCCUUGGAUGGACGGGGAGAAUUGCUGUCGGGGGUGCUGAGAACACAACCCCCUCCGGGUUUCAUUCCCUGUGUUGAAUGGCCUUUGCUUCAGCAGCCCACUGAGGGCCCUUUCCCUUGGGAUUCUGAACUUGCAAC